ACGUCAUGGCGCCCGAGGAGAACGCUGGGACCUAACUCUUGCUGCAGAGUUUGCAGCGCCGCUUUCUGGCGGCGCGCGCGCUGCGCUCCUUCCCCUGGCAGGUGGGCGGCGGGGCGAGCGGAGAGGCCCGCAGGGCUCGCGGGAGUCCAGGGGCAGACGGGAUGGGUCUCCGUGCAGAAGCCCCCGACACGCCCGCCACAGCUUAGAAGCAAAAUUAACAGACUCAUCAGAUUCUGAGCUUCUGCGGGAUAUUUUGCAGAAGCCCAUCCUAGGAGCCCCAGUGAAGAAUUCCUGUGCUAGAGGUGAACCAAGAUUAUCCAUGUGGAAAAGAUGCAGCCACAGCAGGGAAGACUUUCGGGGCAAUACAACUGUGAAGCAUCCUGUGUGUGUGACGCACCCGCCGUCAGUCAAGUAUGCCCGGUGCUUUCUCUCAGAACUCAUCAAAAAGCACGAGGCUGUCCACACGGAGCCUUUGGACGAGCUGUAUGAGGUGCUGGUGGAGACCCUGAUGGCCAAGGAGUCCACUCAGGGCCACUGGAGCUAUUUGCUGGCCAGGCCAGGAUCAGAUGGGAAGUGGAACCUCGUCAUGACCAGAAACUGUUUCCCUAUGAAGAGCACUUGGAGAUGGCAAUGCUGAACCUCACACUGUAGGACUCACACACGACUCCAAUGGGAUUGUGAGAAUCAAGUCACUCUCAAGGGAAGAGGUUUCAUAUGGGAAAGCUGAUAAAACUUUCACUGGACUGGAAUGUUUGGAGAAUGUUAAUUUCCAAAUCAGGAACUACAAACUGCCCUCUAAUAAGACAUCGGCUAUCUAAGCGUGUGGGUGCUCCCUUUCUGCCAGCAGUUCUGGUUCUUAAGGAAAUCGCCAUCACUCAGACAUGAAAACUCUGGCUCCAAAAAUAGCAUUUUCUUUGUGCAAAUAAAAACGUGUGUAUCAAGUA
ensembl:lncRNA FAM86JP family with sequence similarity 86 member J, pseudogene